UACAGAGGGUGCAAGCGUUGUUCGGAAUUAUUGGGCGUAAAGCGCAUGUAGGCGGUCGCUUAAGUCUGGUGUGAAAUCCCGGGGCCUAACCCCGGAAGUGCACUGGAUACUGGGCAACUAGAGGACGAGAGAGGACAGUGGAAUUCCUGGUGUAGGGGUGAAAUCCGUAGAUAUCAGGAGGAACAUCGGUGGCGAAGGCGGCUGUCUGGCUCGUUUCUGACGCUGAGAUGCGAAAGCGUGGGGAGCAAACAGG
rnacentral:rRNA from 1 species